AGCAGCCGCGGUAAUUCCAGCUCCAAUAGCGUAUAUUAAAGUUGCUGCAGUUAAAAAGCUCGUAGUUGAAUUUCGGGAUCAAUAUGUUGGUCGUGCCUCGGUACGUACUAGCUUAUUGGUUUCUCCCUUCUGACGAACCAUGAUGUCAUUUAUUUGGUGUUAUGGGAAAUCAGGACUGUUACUUUGAAAAAUUAGAGUGUUUAAAGCAGGCUCACGCUUGAAUACAUUAGCAUGGAAUAAUGAAAUAGGACGUUUGAUUCUAUUUUGUUGGUUUCCAGGAUCGACGUAAUGAUUAAUAGGGAUAGUUGGGGGCAUUAGUAUUCAAUUGUCAGAGGUGAAAUUCUUGGAUUUAUUGAAGACUAACUACUGCGAAAGCAUUUGCCAAGGAUGUUUUCAUUAAUCAAGAACGAAAGUUAGGGGAUCGAAGACGAUCAGAUACCGUCGUAGUCUUAACCAUGAACUAUGCCGACUAG
rnacentral:rRNA from 1 species